UCAGGACGAACGCUGGCGGCGUGCUUCAUGCAUGCAAGUCGAACGAGAAGCUGACUUCGGUCAGUGGAAAGUGGCGGACGGGUGAGUAAUAUGUAGAGAAUCUGCCCUUGAGUGGGGGGACAACAGAGGGAAACUUCUGCUAAUACCCCAUAUGAGCUAACUUGAAAUAGUUAUCUUGAAAACUCCGGUGCUCAAGGAUGAGUCUGCAUCUGAUUAGCUAGUUGGCGGUGUAAUGGACCACCAAGGCGACGAUCAGUAGCUGGUUUGAGAGGAUGAUCAGCCACAAUGGGACUGAGACACGGCCCAUACUCCUACGGGAGGCAGCAGUAGGGAAUUUUGCGCAAUGGGCGAAAAAGCCUGACGCAGCAACGCCGCGUGAACGAUUAAGCCCUUCGGGGUGUAAAGUUCUGUCAGUAGGGACGAAUUUUGACGGUACCUACAGAGGAAGCACCGGCUAACUCCGUGCCAGCCGCCGC
rnacentral:rRNA from 1 species